rnacentral:rRNA from 1 species
GACGAACGCUGGCGGCGUGCCUAACACAUGCAAGUCGAGCGGAGCUAGUAGCAAUAUUAGCUUAGCGGCGGACGGGUGAGUAACGCGUGGGCAACCUGCCUUCUACAGGGGGAUAACACAGGGAAACUUGUGCUAAUACCGCAUAACAUACUUAAGGGACAUCCCUUGGGUAUCAAAGGAGCAAUCCGGUAGAAGAUGGGCCCGCGUCCGAUUAGCUAGUUGGAGGUGUAACGGACCACCAAGGCGACGAUCGGUAGCCGAACUGAGAGGUUGAUGUGCCACAUUGGGAGUGAACAACGGCCCAGACUCAUCCGGGAGGCAGCAGUGGGAAAUGUUGCGAAAUGGGGAAAACCCUGACGCAGCAACGCCGCGUGAAGGAUGAAGGUCUGCGAAUUGUAAACUUCUUAAGUCGGGGACGAAGAAAUAACGGUACCCGAAGAAUAAGCCACGGCUAACUACGUGCAAGCACCCGCGGAAA